UGGGGAAUCUUCCGCAAUGGACGAAAGUCUGACGGAGCAACGCCGCGUGUAUGAUGAAGGUCUUCGGAUUGUAAAGUACUGUCAUUGGGGAAGAACGGUUUUCUUGAAAAGAUUGAGAAGACAUGACGGUACCCAAGGAGGAAGCCCCGGCUAACUACGUGCCAGUAGCCGCGGUAAUACGUAGGGGGCAAGCGUUGUCCGGAAUUAUUGGGCGUAAAGGGCGCGUAGGCGGGCCUUUAAGUCCGGUGUGAAAGAUCAGGGCUCAACCCUGAGAGUGCAUCGGAAACUGGAGGCCUUGAGGACAGGAGAGGAAAGUGGAAUUCCACGUGUAGCGGUGAAAUGCGUAGAUAUGUGGAGGAACACCAGUGGCGAAGGCGACUUUCUGGACUGUAACUGACGCUGAGGCGCGAAAGCGUGGGGGAGCAAACAGGAUUAGAUACCCUGGUAGUCCACGCCGUAAACGAUGAGUGCUAGGUGUAGAGGGUAUCGACCCCUUCUGUGCCGCAGUUAACACAAUAAGCACUCCGCCUGGGGAGUACGGCCGCAAGGUUGAAACUUAAAGGAAUUGAC
rnacentral:rRNA from 1 species